rnacentral:rRNA from 1 species
CCUACGGGGGGCAGCAGUGGGGAAUAUUGGACAAUGGGGGGAACCCUGAUCCAGCCAUGCCGCGUGUGUGAAGAAGGCCCUCGGGUUGUAAAGCACUUUCAGUGAGGAAGAACGCCUGGUGGUUAAUACCCAUCAGGAAAGACAUCACUCACAGAAGAAGCACCGGCUAACUCCGUGCCAGCAGCCGCGGUAAUACGGAGGGUGCGAGCGUUAAUCGGAAUUACUGGGCGUAAAGCGCGCGUAGGUGGCUUGAUAAGCCGGUUGUGAAAGCCCCGGGCUCAACCUGGGAACGGCAUCCGGAACUGUCAAGCUAGAGUGCAGGAGAGGAAGGUAGAAUUCCCGGUGUAGCGGUGAAAUGCGUAGAGAUCGGGAGGAAUACCAGUGGCGAAGGCGGCCUUCUGGACUGACACUGACACUGAGGUGCGAAAGCGUGGGUAGCAAACAGGAUUAGAUACCCGGGUAGUA